UACAGGGGGGGCAAGCGUUGUUCGGAAUUACUGGGCGUAAAGCGCACGUAGGCGGCUUUGUAAGUUAGAGGUGAAAGCCCGGAGCUCAACUCCGGAAUUGCCUUUAAGACUGCAUCGCUAGAAUUGUGGAGAGGUGAGUGGAAUUCCGAGUGUAGAGGUGAAAUUCGUAGAUAUUCGGAAGAACACCAGUGGCGAAGGCGACUCACUGGACACAUAUUGACGCUGAGGUGCGAAAGCGUGGGGAGCAAACAGG
rnacentral:rRNA from 1 species